GAUGAACGCUGGCGGCGUGCUUAACACAUGCAAGUCGAGCGAAGCAGUUAAGUUGAUUUCUUCGGAUUGAUUCUUAACUGACUGAGCGGCGGACGGGUGAGUAACGCGUGGGUGACCUGCUCCAUACCGGGGGAUAACAGCUGGAAACGGCUGCUAAUACCGCAUAAGCGCACAGAGCUGCAUGGCUCGGUGUGAAAAACUCCGGUGGUAUGGGAUGGGCACGCGUCUGAUUAGGCAGUUGGCGGGGUAACGGCGCACCAAACCGACGAUCAGUAGCCGGCCUGAGAGGGCGGCCGGCCACAUUGGGACUGCGACACGGCCCAAACUCCUACGAGAGGCAGCAGUGGGGAAUAUUGCACAAUGGGGGAAACCCUGAUGCAGCGACGCCGCGUGAGCGAAGAAGUAUUUCGGUAUGUAAAGCUCUAUCAGCAGGGAAGAUAAUGACGGUACCUGACUAAGAAGCCCCGGCUAACUACGUGCCAGCCGCCGCGGUAAAAC
rnacentral:rRNA from 1 species